AUGAACGCUGGCGGCGUGCCUCAUACAUGCAAGUCGCGCGCACAGACGAGGAGCUUGCUCCUCUGACGUUAGCGGCGGACGGGUGAGUAACACGUGGAUAACCUACCUAUAAGACUGGGAUAACUUCGGGAAACCGGAGCUAAUACCGGAUAAUAUAUUGAACCGCCUGGUUCAAUAGUGAAAGACGGUUUUGCUGUCACUUAUAGAUGGAUCCGCGCCGCAUUAGCUAGUUGGUAAGGUAACGGCUUACCAAGGCAACGAUGCGUAGCCGACCUGAGAGGGUGAUCGGCCACACUGGAACUGAGACACGGUCCAGACUCCUACGGGAGGCAGCAGUAGGGAAUCUUCCGCAAUGGGCGAAAGCCUGACGGAGCAACGCCGCGUGAGUGAUGAAGGUCUUCGGAUCGUAAAACUCUGUUAUUAGGGAAGAACAAAUGUGUAAGUAACUAUGCACGUCUUGACGGUACCUAAUCAGAAAGCCACGGCUAACUACGUG
rnacentral:rRNA from 1 species